rnacentral:rRNA from 1 species
UACGUAGGUGACCAGCGUUGUCCGGAUUUACUGGGCGUAAAGAGCGCGCAGGCGGUCGUUCAAGUUCGAGUGUGAAAGCCCCCCGGCUCAACUGGGGAGGGUCAUUCGAUACUGAUCGACUUUGAAGGCAGGAGAGGGAAGUGGAAUUCCCGGUGUAGUGGUGAAAUGCGUAGAUAUCGGGAGGAACACCAGUGGCGAAGGCGACUUCCUGGCCUGUUCUUGACGCUGAGGCGCGAAAGCUAGGGGAGCAAACGGGG